CGUGCCUCGAGCACGAGGACAGCCGGGGGAAACUCCGGUUAAUACUCGAUAAGACCACAGCACCGCAGGGUGCAGGGGUCAAAGGGUGGGGACCUUCGGGCCUGCCGGCUCGAGAGCGGCCCAUGUCCUAUCAGCUUGUUGGUGGGGUAACGGCCUACCAAGGCUACGACGGGUACCGGGACUGAGAGGUUGACCCGGCGCAUCGGGACUGAGACACUGCCCGGACUCCUACGGGAGGCUGCAGUAACGAAUAUUGGGCAAUGGGCGAAAGCCUGACCCAGCGACGCCGCGUGUGGGAAGAAUGCCUUCGGGUUGUAAACCACUGUCAGGGAUUACCAACCAACCGGUGUGAAAUAGCGCCGGGAGUUGAGGAGUCCCAGAGGAAGUCACGGCUAACUUCGUGCCAGCAGCCGCGGUAAUACGAAGGUGGCUAGCGUUGUUCGGAAUCACUGGGCUUAAAGAGCACGUAGGCGGAUGAUCAAGCGUCUUGUGAAAGCCCUCGGCUUCAACCGGGGAAUUGCUUGGCGAACUGAUCAUCUUGAGGGCAGGUAGGGGGCGAGUGGAACUUCUUGGUGGAGCCGGUGGAAUGCUUAGAUAUCCAAGAGGAACGCCAAGAGGCGAAAGCCGACUCCGCUGGGCCCUGACCUGACGCCUGAGGUGACGAAAGCAAGGGAAGCGAACGGGAUUAAGAUACCCCUGGAAGUCCUGGCCCUAAACGAUGUCCCCUAGGGUCGGUGAGGGUCUAAUGCUUUGCUUGCCGAAACCAAAAGCGUUUAAGUGGACCGCCUGGGGAGUACGUUCCAUAGGCUAAAUCUCAAAGGAUUUGACGGGGGCUCACACAAGCUGGUGGAGCAUGUUGCUUAAUUCGAGGCAUCGCGAAGAACCUUAUCCUGGGCUUGACAUACACGGAUGCCCUCCUGGAAACAGGUCAGUUUGACCUUCGGGGUGAAACGUACACAGGUGCUGCAUGCCUGUCGUCAGCUCGUUUCGUGAAAUGUUGGGUUAAGUCCCGUAACGAGCGAAACCCUGGUCGCUAGUUGCCAGCGCGUAAUGGCGGUGACUCUAGCGAGACUGCCGGUGUUAAACCGGAGGAAGGUGGGGAUGACGUCAAGUCCUCAUGGC
rnacentral:rRNA from 1 species